rnacentral:rRNA from 1 species
GCGAACGCUGGCGGCAGGCUUAACACAUGCAAGUCGAACGCCCGUAGCAAUACGGGAGUGGCAGACGGGUGAGUAACACGUGGGAACGUGCUUUUUGGUUCGGCACAACCCAGGGAAACUUGGGCUAAUACCGGAUAAGCCCUUACGGGGAAAGAUUUAUCGCCAAAAGAUCGGCCCGCGUCUGAUUAGCUAGUUGGUGGGGUAACGGCCCACCAAGGCGACGAUCAGUAGCUGGUCUGAGAGGAUGAUCAGCCACACUGGGACUGAGACACGGCCCAGACUCCUACGGGAGGCAGCAGUGGGGAAUCUUGGACAAUGGGCGCAAGCCUGAUCCAGCCAUGCCGCGUGAGUGAUGAAGGCCUUAGGGUUGUAAAGCUCUUUCAGUGGGGAAGAUAAUGACGGUACCCACAGAAGAAGCCCCGGCUAACUUCGU